AUAAUGAAGGAGGGCGAAUGUUCAGUUUUUUUGCCAGUGAUGCAAGUGUUACCGCCUCUAUUCCUUCUAGAUCCGCUAUUUCUGCUGCAUUUCGCAAAAUCGUCGGCAUAUCGAGUCCUGUUCUCGGUGACAAAGUACUUUCUCCUUUCGAUACCUUUAUGACCGCUUGAUAAUUCAUUAUUAUCCGGUUUGAUCCAAAUUAAAUUUCUAUUUAAAUUAAUCGUUUUUCUGCUUCUGUUAUUGCUCUUUUCAUUGCUUCUUCCGGAUGAACGAUCAUUCGGCCAUGGCCUGUUGCCAAUAGAGUUGGCUGUAAUCGUAGCAGUUUUCGGGCACUUUCGAGAGCAACCAUUUUAUUCCAUGUACCCAUCGCCGGA
rnacentral:antisense_RNA from 1 species